rnacentral:rRNA from 1 species
CCUACGGGGGGCAGCAGUGAGGAAUAUUGGUCAAUGGCCGUAAGGCUGAACCAGCCAAGUAGCGUGAGGGAAGACUGCCCUAUGGGUUGUAAACCUCUUUUAUGCGGGGAUAAAGGUGUCUACGUGUGGAUGUUUGCAGGUACCGCAUGAAUAAGGAACGGCUAAUUCCGUGCCAGCAGCCGCGGUAAUACGGAAGGUCCGGGCGUUAUCCGGAUUUAUUGGGUUUAACGGGUGCGUAGGCCGGUCUUUAAGCGUGCCGUGAAAUUUUGUGGCUCAACCAUGAGAGUGCGGCGCGAACUGGAGAUCUUGAGUGCGCGGAAGGCAGGCGGAAUUCGUUGGGGAGCGGGGAAAUGCU